GUAGAUGGUCUCAUACUCUACUUU
rnacentral:snRNA from 1 species